ACUCAAAUGAAUUGACGGGGGCUCACACAAGCGGUGGAGCAUGUUGCUUAAUUCGAAGCAACGCGAAGAACCUUACCUGGGUUUGACAUGCUUGGAUUAACUCCUGGAAACAGGAGCCACGCCCGCAAGGGUGGAACAAGCACAGGUGCUGCAUGGCUGUCGUCAGCUCGUGCUGUGAAGUGUCGGGUUAAGUCCCUUAACGAGCGCAACCCUUGUCGCUAGUUGCUAACAGGUAAUGCUGAGGACUCUAGCGAGACUGCCGGUGUCAAACCGGAGGAAGGCGGGGAUGACGUCAAGUCCUCAUGGCCCUUACAUCCAGGGUUGCAAACGUGCUACAAUGGCAUGUACAGAGCGACGCGAGACCGCAAGGUGGAGCAAAUCGCAAAAAACAUGCCCCAGUUCGGAUUGCAGGCUGCAACUCGCCUGCAUGAAGCCGGAAUCGCUAGUAAUCGUGGAUCAGCUACGCCACGGUGAAUAAGUUCCUGAGCCUUGUACACACCGCCCGU
rnacentral:rRNA from 1 species